GUGAUUGCUUCGGCAGCACAUAUACUAAAAUUGGAACAAUACAGAAAUUAGCAUGGCCCCUGCCCAAGGAUGACAUGCAAAUACAUGAAGCAUUCCAUAUUUUU
rnacentral:snRNA from 1 species